ACUGGCAGUUAGCUCUCUGCAACUAUAACAUGGUUGCCCACUGAAGCUAAGCAGGGGUGCACCUGGAUGGGAGAUGGAUGGGAGACCACAUGGGAAAGCUAGGUUGUUGCCGGAA
rnacentral:rRNA from 1 species